GUGCUCGCCAUGGCAGCACAUACACUAAAAUUGGAAUGAUACAGAGAAGAUUAGCAUGGCCCCUGUGCAAGGAUGACACACAAAUUUGUGAAGCGUUCCAUGUUUUU
rnacentral:snRNA from 1 species